UGGGGAAUUUUGCACAAUGGGGGAAACCCUGAUGCAGCGACGCCACGUGAUUUAGAAGGCCUUCGGGUUGUAAAAAUCUUUUGUAUAGGAAGAAAAUGACAGUACUAUACGAAUAAGGACCGGCUAAUUACGUGCCAGCAGCCGCGGUAAUACGUAAGGUCCGAGCGUUGUCCGGAAUCAUUGGGCGUAAAGGGUACGUAGGCGGGUAAGCAAGUUAGAAGUGAAAUCCUAUAGCUCAACUAUAGUAAGCUUUUAAAACUGCUCAUCUUGAGGUAUGGAAGGGAAAGUGGAAUUCCUAGUGUAGCGGUGAAAUGCGCAGAUAUUAGGAGGAAUACCGGUGGCGAAGGCGACUUUCUGGCCAUAACCUGACGCUGAGGUACGAAAGCGUGGGUAGCAAACAGG
rnacentral:rRNA from 1 species